rnacentral:rRNA from 1 species
AUGCUUCUCCUAAAGACUAAGCCAUGCAUGCCUUCGAAUAGAAGAGCUAUCUCUCUGAAUCUGCGAACGGCUCCGCACACCAGUUGUAAACUAUAGCAAGUCCGUGUGGCCAGCGAGCAAUCGCUCGGUUGCACUAACAGGGAUAACCCUGGUAAUCCUGAGGCUAAUACAAGAACGUAAAACUUGGCUAACCGGGCAACUGGAAGGCUGAGGGUCGUGUAAGCUUAACUGCGACACUCGACACGAAUGGAUGCACGAUCAAACCACCAUACCAAACGAUCAGUUGGAUAAGCUCUCACGGGCGGACCGGCAGUUCGGGUGGGUCUUGCUGUGUGCUUCUGACCUAUCAACUAGAUGGCAGCGUAAAGGACAUGCUAUGGUGACAACGGGUACAGAGGAUAAGGGUUCGAUCCUGGAGAGUGGGCCUGAGAGAUUGCUCACACUUCUAAGGAAGGCAGCAGGCGCGUAACGUUCCCAUUGGGCAAAGCCUGAGGGCGUUAGGGGACAUAUGAAUGCUUGCCAUAUGGUAGGCAAUUCAAAUGGGUUCGUUCUAAACAGCCCU